rnacentral:rRNA from 1 species
GAUUAAUUUAUAUUUACUUUUUUUAGUAGUUAAUUUAUAAAUUUUUAAUUAAAAUAUAUUUAAUAAAUUGUUUAUGUAUUCUUUAGAUUAAAUAAUUUUAGUAAUAGUAAAUUAGUACAGUGAUGGAAAUUUUUAGGAUUUAAUAAAUUAUUAUUAAAGAAGAAUUUAUUUUUUGUACCUUUUGUAUCAGGGUUUAUCAAAAAUUUAUUAAUUAUGUUUAAUUUUCCCGAAUUUAAUAGAGCUAAUUUUUUUAUGAAAGUUAUUGUUACAAAAUUAUUUUUAAUAAAAUUUUAGUAAUUAGAUGUUAAUCGUUAUUAAAUGUAUCUGGUUCUUUAAGAUUUAAAUUUAAUUUAUUUAUUAAUAUUAAAUUAUUUAUAAUUGAUUAAUUAUUUAAUUUAUUUUAAUAAAAAAAAUUUUAGGGAUAAGCUUAGAAUUUUUAUCUAUAAUUUAUUUUUUGGAAAUUUUAUGAUUGAUAGGAUUAGAAAUUUUUAUUCUUUAAAAAAAUGUUAUAAUUAAUUUUUUGUUGAUUAAAAUUUAUUUUAAUUUAGAUUUUUUAUUAGGGAGUUUUAAUUAAUUUAUUUUAUUAGUAAUAAUGAUAAAAUUAGUAUUAUUUUUGUUUUAUAUAAAAUUUGUAUUUAGAUAAUAAUAAGGAAUUCAGCAAUAUUAAACCCACCUGUUUAUCAAAAACAUGUCUUUUUGUUUAUAAUAUAAGGUCUAACCUGCCCACUGAAUUAUUGAAGGGCCGCAGUAUAUUGACUGUGCAAAGGUAGCAUAAUCAUUUGCCUUUUAAUUGGAGGCUGGAAUGAAUGGUUGGAUGAGGUUUAAUCUGUCUCGUUAUUAAAAGUUAAUAAUUUAAUUUUUCAGUUAAAAAGCUGAAAUUUUUUUGGAGGACGAGAAGACCCUAUAGAGCUUUAUAAUUAUUUAAUGAAUUUUAUUUAGAUUAAAAAGUGUUUUUAUUAAAAUAUUAUUUUGUUGGGGUGACAGGAAGAUUAAUAAAACUCUUUUGAUAUUUAAACAUAAAUUAAUGAAUUUUUGAUCCAUUCUUAUUGAGUAGUAGAAUAAGUUACCUUAGGGAUAACAGCGUAAUUUUAUUGGAGAGUUCAUAUCGAUAAUAUAGAUUGCGACCUCGAUGUUGAAUUAAAGAAAUUUUUUAGUGCAGAAGCUAAGAUUAAUAGGUCUGUUCGACCUUUAAAACUUUACAUGAUUUGAGUUCAGACCGGCGUGAGCCAGGUCGGUUUCUAUCCUUAAUGAAAUAAUUUGAUUUAGUACGAAAGGACCAAUCAUUUGAAUUAAAUUUUUUAGUUUGAAUAGAAUUAAAAUUAGU